rnacentral:misc_RNA from 1 species
CAAAAAAUAAAUAAAUAAAGGAAGUAUGAACUAACAGAAAUUUUAUGUCGCUUUUCCCUGAAACCUCUGAAAACAAAUGUGUAAAAAGGAUUAAAAAGAAACAGAACAGCAACACAAAAUUAUGAGAAGUAGACAGGCAAUAUUCAACUAACUAACAAGAGAUGCAAAGAUUAAAAGAAAAGUAAAUGAUAAAAAAAUCUGGAUAAAGCUAAAAUCUAUAGAUCAAGCCAUUGACAGAACAAAGAAACCAAUGAAAAAUGCAAAAUAAAGCUAAAAAGAAUAGCAGAAAAAGGAAAAGGAGAAAAAAAAGAUUGAGACCCAUGUAUGUACC